rnacentral:rRNA from 1 species
UGCGUAGGCGGGCAUUUAAGUCAGUGGUGAAAUACCUGAGCUUAACUUGGGAACUGCCAUUGAUACUAUUUGUCUUGAAUGUCGUGGAGGUUAGCGGAAUAUGUCAUGUAGCGGUGAAAUGCUUAGAUAUGACAUAGAACACCUAUUGCGAAGGCAGCUAACUACGCGAAUAUUGACGCUGAGGCACGAAAGCGUGGGGAUCAAACA